UAGCCAGCACCCGAGUGGUCGGGACGUUUAUUGGGCCUAAAGCAUCCGUAGCCGGUUCUACAAGUCUUCCGUUAAAUCCACCUGACUUAACAGAUGGGCUGCGGAAGAUACUGUAGAGCUAGGAGGCGGGAGAGGCAAGCGGUAGCGUCGAUGGGUAGGGGUAAAAUCCGUUGAAUCCAUUGAAGACCACCAGUGGCGAAGGCG
rnacentral:rRNA from 1 species